rnacentral:rRNA from 1 species
AUUGAACGCUGGCGGCAUGCCUUACACAUGCAAGUCGAACGGCAGCACGGGGCAACCUGGUGGCGAGUGGCGAACGGGUGAGUAAUGCAUCGGAACGUGCCAUUGAGUGGGGGAUAACGUAGCGAAAGUUGCGCUAAUAUCGCAUAUUCUGUGAGCAGGAAAGCAGGGGACCGCAAGGCCUUGCGCUCUUUGAGCGGCCGAUGUCAGAUUAGCUAGUUGGUGAGGUAACGGCUUACCAAGGCGACGAUCUGUAGCGGGUCUGAGAGGAUGAUCCGCCACACUGGAACUGAGACACGGUCCAGACUCCUACGGGAGGCAGCAGUGGGGAAUUUUGGACAAUGGGCGCAAGCCUGAUCCAGCCAUGCCGCGUGAGUGAAGAGGGCCUUCGGUUGUAAG